rnacentral:lncRNA from 1 species
UUUUAGCUUGCAUGGUCAUUUUUACAGCCCCAUACUGCCAUGAAAAGUGAGGACUGUUUGUGUGUCUAAAAUGUUUAACAGAGUUAAGAAGCCUCGUUUCUCAUCUUCCUCAAAAGUAUGUCAUAAAGAUCCCCGACAAGAGCAUCACUUAAAAAUCCAGCAGGAAGAGCCUCUGCCUUCAGGAGGAUCCACUUUGGAAAAGGC